UACGGGAGGCAGCAGGGGGGAAUAUUGGACAAUGGGCGCAAGCCUGAUCCAGCCAUGCCGCGUGUGUGAAGAAGGCCUUCGGGUUGUAAAGCACUUUCAGCGAGGAGGAAGGGGUGAGUGUUAAUAGUACUCAUCUUUGACGUUACUCGCAGAAGAAGCACCGGCUAACUCUGUGCCAGCAGCCGCGGUAAUACAGAGGGUGCAAGCGUUAAUCGGAAUUACUGGGCGUAAAGCGCACGUAGGCGGUUUUUUAAGUCAGAUGUGAAAGCCCCGGGCUCAACCUGGGAAUUGCAUUUGAAACUGGAAAACUAGAGUGUGUGAGAGGGGGGUAGAAUUCCAAGCGUAGCGGUGAAAUGCGUAGAGAUUUGGAGGAAUACCAGUGGCGAAGGCGGCCCCCUGGCACAACACUGACGCUCAGGUGCGAAAGCGUGGGGAGCAAACAGGAUUAGAUACCCUGGUAGUCCACGCCGUAAACGAUGUCUACUAGCUGUUCGUGACCUUGUGUCGUGAGUAGCGCAGCUAACGCAUUAAGUAGACCGCCUGGGGAGUACGGUCGCAAGAUUAAAACUCAAAGGAAUUGACGG
rnacentral:rRNA from 2 species